UACGUAGGGAGCAAGCGUUGUCCGGAAUCAUUGGGCGUAAAGCGCGCGUAGGUGGCUUCGUAAGUCCGUUGUGAAAGUCAAAGGCUCAACCCUGGGAUGCCGGUGGAUACUGUCGGGCUCGAGUCCGGAAGAGGCGAGUGGAAUUCCUGGUGUAGCGGUGAAAUGCGCAGAUAUCAGGAGGAACACCAAUGGCGAAGGCAGCUCGCUGGGACGUGACUGACGCUGAGACGCGAAAGCGUGGGGAGCAAACAGG
rnacentral:rRNA from 1 species